CCGAGCCCCGAGGCCGGCCAAGGAAUCGUCCGGGUCUCGGAGUACCGAUGCUUGAGCAGUUGAGCCUCGUGACUGACGACGAGGGAUGCGGAACAAACGCCAAAAGGGCGCCCCUCCUCGCUUCCACAGCGCGCUCUGCACUCGUCGCCCAGCCACAAGCAGAAAAAGCUCACACGCUCCCGCCGCUCAUCCUCGGUUGCGCCGCCGCUGCGAAUGCCGCCUCCGAGGCCCCGCCUGCCGCCGCUUCUCCUUAUCCACCUCCUCCUCGCGGCCGCCUGCAGCUGCGGCCUCACCGGUGCGGGGGAAGGCGGCUCCUGCGAGUUCUCCGUCGAGCGAGGCGGCGAGCUCUACAGCUUCGACCUCGCGGCGCCGACGCCGGCGCACCGCCACGGCGUGCUCAGCGAGGACGGGUUUUACAAGGUGGCUGUGAAUGAUUCCGUACUCUGGUUCCAGCUUUGCGAUGAAAUGCUAUUCAACUUUGACCCACCUAUGUGUCUUAAUUGUGAGGACUGUGGUGGUCCACUGAGGUGUGGAACUCAGUGCAGUGCACUUGUGUCAAAUUAUAUUCGAGGGUAUGAUGUCUGCACAACUAUUGGGAGUUUAUCUAAAUCCCAUAUAUCUCUAGUUGAUGAGAGUAAUCCUCAAAAGGGUAUCAUUGUUAAGAUGUUCUCAUCAAAGUGUUCUAUUUCUGUUUCCGUUAUUUGCGAUUCAACUGCAGCCCAAGUACCAGACAAAUUCGUCGUAUCUGGUCUUUGUGAUUAUGCUACAACACUUAAACACCCUUCUGGUUGUGCACGGUCUGUUUCUGAUUCUGGAAGUGGCUGGAGAUGGUUAAGCACUUUGUUCAUGACAAUUCUGUGCCUUCUUGGAGGGUACAUUUUGAUUGGAGCAGUUUACAGAUACUAUUUCCUUGGCAUUCAUUCUGUAGAGGCCAUUCCAAACCUGGAAUUUUGGAUUGGUUUGCCCCAACGCAUUAAGACUAUCUUUGUUCCUGCAACAAGAAGUCACGUAAGUUAUAAUAGAGAUGGUCAAGGCACAUACGCCUCUGUAUACCAUUGAGAAGGUGGGCAUUCAAGAAAUUUUAUUGGCAGUCAUACAGUUAAGCACAUGUAUGGUAUGGACUUGACAGCAGGAUGAAUCUUUGUUCUUGCCAAAGUACAGGUAUGAAAGUGGGACUUAUAUCGUGCUAUGGAUGGAGUUUUUGAAUGCCAUGCAAUGCAACAAGAGUUCUGGUGAAAUUUUUAUAAUUUUGAACAUGUACCAUAAUCACCAUGAAAUGUGCCAUGAGGGCUACGAUAUGCUGAUAGUUUUUUUUGCGACUUGAUGCUUGUGCUCUGGGUGUGGGCAAGAGAAGAUAAGACUUAGACCUCCAAUAGCUGAUUCUCUGUUGUCCUUUGGAAUUGGAAGGCUAGAAAUCUGUUCAAUGGAAGGCAGAUGAAUCACUCUUGUGAGAACAUAAUGAAAGCAAUGUGAUGUGACUUUAUUGUGAAUAGAGGAACAAAUUAUCAUUCGGAAUGCUGGUAGUUUGCUCCAUUUCUUGCCAUUCUUUUAGCUUGGAAAGUAAUGUAACUGUUUUUCAUGAGCUAUGGCAAAAGAAGGAAUCUUGCAAAGUGUU